AGUCUGGUGCCAGCAGCCGCGGUAAUUCCAGCUCCAAUAGCGUAUAUUAAAAUUGCUGCGGUUAAAAAGCUCGUAGUUGGAUCUCUGAUUUGGACCGGCGGCCCACUCAAGGAUAGCCCUCGCUGAAAAUGGGAGGCGCUUUACGGUCGCUACGGCGCCUCGGACGAGCGCUGUCGCCCUCCAACGGGGGUUAGUGGCGGCGUUUCGUACGGGGGUCAAACGCUCGGAGCGUCGUGGGCCCUCCUACAGGCGGGCAAGCGAUCCCGGUGGUUCACUGUCCGGCUCCGGAUUGAAAAUGCCGUCGGCUCGCUCGGGGUGCUCUUCACCGAGUGUCCCGCGCGGCCGACAAGUUCACUUUGAAAAAAUUAGGGUGCUCAAAGCAGGCAACAACUCACGCCUGAAUGGUGGUGCAUGGAAUGAUGGAACAGGACCUCGGUUCUGCCCUUUUAAUUGGUUUUCUGAACCCGAGGUAAUGAUUAACGGGAACAGACGGGGGCAUUAGUAUUGCGACGCUAGAGGUGAAAUUCUUGGACCGUCGCAAGACUAACUACUGCGAAAGCAUUUGCCAAGAAUGUCUUCAUUAAUCAAGAACGAAAGUUAGAGGAUCGAAGGCGAUCAGAUACCGCCCUAGUUCUAACCAUAAACGAUGCUAACUGGCGAUCCGUCGGCGUCAUUCCCACGACUCGACGGGGAGCCCCCGGGAAACCAAAGUCUUUGAGUUCCGGGGGAAGUAUGGUUGCAAAGCUGAAACUUAAAGGAAUUGACGGAAGGGCACCACCAGGAGUGGAGCCUGCGGCUUAAUUUGACAACACGGGGAAACUCACCAGGCCCGGACACCGAAAGGAUUGACAGAUUGAGAGCUCUUUCUUGAUCCGGUGGGUGGUGGUGCAUGGCCGUUCUUAGUUGGUGGAGCGAUCUGUCUGGUUGAUUCCGAUAACGAACGAGACUCUACCCUGCUAACUAGUCGGCGGAUCGUCUCCCGCGGGGGACCUUCCCGAGGUUCGCGCUUCUUUCGGUAGCUCCCUCUCAUCUCCCGCUCCUAAGCCCGCUCCUCCUCAGCGCGUUCGUCGGCUCGUCGUCGGCGUCGCGCGCGGGGUCGGUGGGUGGCGGCGGCGGCGACGGUGGCGGGGGUCAAGCGACCGGGGUUGCGUCCUCGUGGUCGGUUCAUCCUAGGGGCGUCCGCCGCAGCAUCUUCUUAGAGGAAUCAGCGGCGUCCAGCCGCACGAAAUAGAGCAAUAACAGGUCUGUGAUGCCCUUAGAUGUUCUGGGCCGCACGCGCGCUACAAUGAAGGAUUCAGCGUGCUUUCCCCGUCUGAAAAGAUCGGGUAACCCGAUGAAACUCCUUCCCGAUUGGGAUUGGGGCUUGCAAUUGUUUCCCAUGAACGAGGAAUUCCCAGUAAGCGCGAGUCAUCAGCUCGCGUUGAUUACGUCCCUGCCCUUUGUACACACCGCCCGUCGCUACUACCGAUUGAAUGAUUCAGUGAGGGCAUCGGACUGGCGCCUUCGGUUGCCUCGGGACUCGCGUCUCGAGCGCCUUAGGCUGACGGAAAGAUGUCCGAACUUGAUCAUUUAGAGGAAGUAAAAGUCGUAACAAGGUUUCCGUAGGUGAACCUGCGGAAG
rnacentral:rRNA from 1 species